rnacentral:rRNA from 1 species
GAUGAACGCUAGCGGCAGGCUUAAUACAUGCAAGUCGAACGACAGCAAUGUUAGUGGCGCACGGGUGCGUAACGCGUAUGCAACUUGCCUAGUGUGGGGGAUAACGUUCGGAAACGGACGCUAAUACCGCAUACGUCCUACGGGAGAAAGCGGGGGAUCUUCGGACCUCGCGCCAUUAGAUGAGCCUAGGUCGGAUUAGCUAGUUGGUGAGGUAAUGGCUCACCAAGGCGACGAUCCGUAACUGGUCUGAGAGGAUGAUCAGUCACACUGGAACUGAGACACGGUCCAGACUCCUACGGGAGGCAGCAGUGGGGAAUAUUGGACAAUGGGCGAAAGCCUGAUCCAGCCAUGCCGCGUGUGUGAAGAAGGUCUUCGGAUUGUAAAGCACUUUAAGUUGGGAGGAAGGGCAGUAACCUAAUACGUUAUUGUUUUGACGUUACCGACAGAAUAAGCACCGGCUAACUUCGUG